rnacentral:rRNA from 1 species
CCAUAUGGUCGACCUGCAGGCGGCCGCGAAUUCACUAGUGAUUCGUAUUACCGCGGCUGCUGGCACAGAGUUAGCCGGUGCUUAUUCUGUCGGUAACGUCAAAACAGCAAAGUAUUAAUUUACUGCCCUUCCUCCCAACUUAAAGUGCUUUACAAUCCGAAGACCUUCUUCACACACGCGGCAUGGCUGGAUCAGGCUUUCGCCCAUUGUCCAAUAUUCCCCACUGCUGCCUCCCGUAGGAGUCUGGACCGUGUCUCAGUUCCAGUGUGACUGAUCAUCCUCUCAGACCAGUUACGGAUCGUCGCCUUGGUGAGCCAUUACCCCACCAACUAGCUAAUCCGACCUAGGCUCAUCUGAUAGCGCAAGGCCCGAAGGUCCCCUGCUUUCUCCCGUAGGACGUAUGCGGUAUUAGCGUCCGUUUCCGAACGUUAU